rnacentral:rRNA from 1 species
AUUGAACGCUGGCGGCAUGCUCUACACAUGCAAGUCGAACGGUAACAGGCCGCAAGGUUCUGACGAGUGGCGGACGGGUGAGUAAUGCAUCCGAACGUGCCCAGGCGUGGGGGCUAACUACUCUAAAGAGUAGCUAAUACCGCAUACGAUCUAUGUAUGAAAGCGGGGGACCGUAAGGCCUCGCGCGAUUGGAGCGGCCGAUGUCAGAUUAGGUAGUUGGUGGGGUAAAGGCUCACCAAGCCAACGAUCUGUAGCUGGUCUGAGAGGACGACCAGCCACACUGGGACUGAGACACGGCCCAGACUCCUACGGGAGGCAGCAGUGGGGAAUUUUGGACAAUGGGCGCAAGCCUGAUCCAGCAAUGCCGCGUGAAGGAAGAAGGCCUUCGGGUUGUAAACUGCUUUUGUACGGAACGAAACGGCUCUGGUUAAUACCCGGGGCUAAUGACGGUACCGUAAGAAUAAGCACCGGCUAACUACGUG